rnacentral:rRNA from 1 species
UGCCAGCCGCCGCGGUAAUACGGAGGGUGCAAGCAUUAAUCGGAUUUAUUGGGCGUAAAGAGCACGUAGGCGGUCUGCUAAGUCUGGUGUGAAAGCCCCCGGCUCAACCGGGGAAUUGCAUUGGAUACUGGCAGACUCGAGGACGGUUGGGGUGAGUGGAACUCCUGGUGGAGCGGUGAAAUGCGUAGAUAUCAGGAGGAACACCAGUGGCGAAAGCGGCUCACUGGACCGUCUCUGACGCUGAGGUGCGAAAGCUAGGGUAGCGAACAGGAUUAGAUA